rnacentral:rRNA from 1 species
AGUGAACGCUGGCGGUAGGCCUAACACAUGCAAGUCGAACGGCAGCACAGUAAGAGCUUGCUCUUACGGGUGGCGAGUGGCGGACGGGUGAGGAAUACAUCGGAAUCUACUUUUUCGUGGGGGAUAACGUAGGGAAACUUACGCUAAUACCGCAUACGACCUACGGGUGAAAGCAGGGGAUCUUCGGACCUUGCGCGGUUGAAUGAGCCGAUGUCGGAUUAGCUAGUUGGCGGGGUAAAGGCCCACCAAGGCGACGAUCCGUAGCUGGUCUGAGAGGAUGAUCAGCCACACUGGAACUGAGACACGGUCCAGACCCCUACGGGAGGCAGCAGUGGGGAAUAUUGGACAAUGGGCGCAAGCCUGAUCCAGCCAUACCGCGUGGGUGAAGAAGGCCUUCGGGUUGUAAAGCCCUUUUGUUGGGAAAGAAAAGCAGCAGGUUAAUACCCCGCUGUUCUGACGGUACCCAAAGAAUAAGCACCGGCUAACUUCGUG